rnacentral:ncRNA from 1 species
AAUUAAAAAUUUUUAUAGUUUGAAAAAUUUACUUAAAAUUUAUUUUACAUAUAAAUUUUAGUGUUAAUUAUUAAUUUAUCUUAAUAAUAAUAAUAAUAAUAAUUUUAGUAAUUAAUAUUAAAAAUUUAAGCAAUUAAGAUUUAGUAAUAAUUUAAUUAAAAACUAAUUUUGUGCCAGCAGUUGCGGUUAAACAAAAUUUAAAGUAAAUUUUAUUAGUAAAAUUAAUUAAUAAUUUAUAAUUUAAAUUAAAUAUUAAAUUAUUAAGUGAAAUUUUAAUUUAAUAAAAAUUUAUAAAAAAAUUAUGAAAUUAAUAAAUUAUAUUAAAAACUAGGAUUAGAUACCCUAUUAUUAUUAAAUUAAAUGGUAAUACUAGAAUAGUAUUUAAUAAUUUAUUGAAAUUUAAAUAAUUUGGCGGUAUUUUAGUUCAUUCAGAGGAAUCUGUUUAAUAAUUGAUAAUCCACGAAUAAAUUUACUUAAUUUAUAAUUUUGUAUAUCGUUGUUAAAAAAAUAUUUUAUAUUAAAAAUAAUAUUUUAAAAUUUUAAAAAUAAAUUAAAUCAGAUCAAGAUGCAGAUAAUAAUUAAGAAUAUAAUGGAUUACAAUAAAUUUAUUUAAAUGAAAAAUAAUUUGUAAGAAUUAUAUGAAGGUGGAUUUGAAUGUAAUUUUAUUUAAUUUAAUAAAAUGAUUAAAAGUUAAAAUAUGUACAUAUUGCCCGUCGCUUUCAUAAAUAAGUUGAAAUAAGUCGUAACAAAGUAGAGGUACUGGAAAGUGUUUCUAGAAAGAU